CAGUAUUAAAGGCAAUGCCUGCCCAGUGAAACUAUUCAACGGCCGCGGUACCCUAACCGUGCAAAGGUAGCGUAAUCAUUUGUCUAUUAAUUGUAGACCAGUAUGAAAGGCCCCAUGAGAGCCAAACUGUCUCUUGUAGUCAUUCAAUUAAACUGAUCUUUUAGUCCAAAAGCUAAAAUAAGCCUAUAAGACCAGAAGACCCUGUGAAGCUUAAACUAACCCAUUAAACCUAAUAAUGGCCUCUUUCGGUUGGGGCGACCUUGGAACAAAAUAAAACUUCCAAACAACGAGUACUUCCUCAUAUUAAGGCCAACAUGCCAUAAUACGACCCAGUCCACUGAUUAAUGAACCAAGUUACUCCAGGGAUAACAGCGCUAUCUUCUUUAAGAGCCCAUAUCAAAAAGAAGGUUUACGACCUCGAUGUUGGAUCAGGACAUCCUAGUGGUGCAGCCGCUACCAAGGGUUCGUUUGUUCAACGAUUAACAGUCCUACGUGAUCUGAGUUCAGACCGGCUU
rnacentral:rRNA from 1 species